rnacentral:tRNA from 1 species
GCAUCGGUGGUUCAGUGGUAGAAUGCUCGCCAGUCACCCGCGCGGCCCGGGUUCGACUCCCGGCCGACGGU